rnacentral:ncRNA from 1 species
GUAUAGGCAAACCUGUUGAAAAGCAGGGACGCAAAACUAUAAGGGCUAAGGUGGAAAAUUCACUAUGCUAGCUAGUUGCCA